rnacentral:rRNA from 1 species
UGGGGAAUUUUGGACAAUGGGGGAAACCCUGAUCCAGCCAUCCCGCGUGUGCGAUGAAGGCCUUCGGGUUGUAAAGCACUUUUGGCAGGAAAGAAACGUCAUGGGUUAAUACCCCGUGAAACUGACGGUACCUGCAGAAUAAGCACCGGCUAACUACGUGCCAGCAGCCGCGGUAAUACGUAGGGUGCAAGCGUUAAUCGGAAUUACUGGGCGUAAAGCGUGCGCAGGCGGUUCGGAAAGAAAGAUGUGAAAUCCCAGAGCUCAACUUUGGAACUGCAUUUUUAACUACCGGGCUAGAGUGUGUCAGAGGGAGGUGGAAUUCCGCGUGUAGCAGUGAAAUGCGUAGCUAUGCGGAGGAACACCGAUGGCGAAGGCAGCCUCCUGGGAUAACACUGACGCUCAUGCACGGAAGCGUGGGGAGCAAACAGG